GAAGUCUAACUAAAAGUCACUAACCUGCAGUAAUAAAACAUGGAAAACAGCGAUAACCGCGGCAGUGUUACCUGACUGACCGGUUCGGCGGCAUUUAACGAAAGAAACCCCCCCGAGAAAGUAUCGACAGGCCCUCUGCUGCUGUCAACAACUAACCAGCAUCAAUGUCUCGGCUUGAGGGUCGCCGGGAGUCUCUUCCUGUGAUCAAUCAGGUGGUGCGGCGGCGUUGCUCCGGGCCGUUGCUACUUCCUCCGCUAUCGAGGAGACACUCCUGCCAGGAUCGCC